AAUGUAAACUAGAGUUACUGAUACAUCUGUAUGUACAGAUUAAUGUAACAUCAUCACUGAUACGUCUGUAUGUACUAGAUUAAUGUAACAGCAUUACUGAUACGUCUUUACAUACAGAUUAAUGUGACAGCAUUACCGAUUAAUGUAACAUCAUCACUGAUACGUCUUUACAUACAGAUUAACGUGAAAGCGUUACUGAUACGUCUUUACAUACAGAUUAAUAUUAAUGUAACAGCAUUACUGAUACAUCUGUAUGUACAGAUUAAUGUGACAGCGUUACUGAUACGUCUGUAUGUACAGAUUAAUGUAACAUCAUCACUGAUACGUCUGUAUGUACAGAUUAAUGUGACAGAUCUGAGGUAACAAAGAACUUAAAAUCUUCAGUUGUGUUUUCAUUAUUGUUGUAUAAUGUGAUGAAACUGUUUUUAGUAUUUCAAACCUGCGUUAUUUAGUUAGUAUUAGGUGUACAUGUAUUUAAGUUUAUUAAAAAAUAUUGUCUUAAAUUAAACUUUUCUAAUUAGUUGGUAAUAUAUAUUUCUUGUUCAUUUGACAUAACGAUUUAUUAAUAAUGAAUAUAUAUAUAUAUCCUCAAUCCAUGUACGAUAAACGGAUUACUAUAUGCGCAAGGUUAAUUGAGUAUUGAAGUUAAAAAUACAGAUACAUGGUGGUAUGAAGAAAUUGUUCUAUCUAGUUAAAAUAGUCCAGAUUUUCUCAUUCAAUCACUAAUAAACAGAAGGAAUUUAAUAAAAGAUAGGUUAAGGUUUGAUUAGUAUGCGCUUUUAACCUUUUUUUAAUUAAGUGUUGUGCAAUUAUCUUUUAUGUAAUUAUUUGUACUGUUAAUAAAAAUGCCCAUACUUAAACUGUGGUCUAACUUAUCCUGAAAGUGUGCAAUGCAGAAAUCUUUGUGCGCUAAUCACAGAAUCCAGUUAUGUUUCAAAUUAUAUGGAUUGGUUCAACCUCAAUCAUGGUUGGUGAAUAAUGAAACUUACCAAUUCAUUUUCUUUGUAUUUUAUUGUGAUUUUUCUUCAUUCCAAACUAUCUUUUAAAUGAACUUGUAUAUAAGUAAAAGUGUAACAGUGCACGAUUGAUGAAUUUUUUAGGAGGUACAAGUACGAUAACAUAUUACAUUAACUCUGGAAAUAGUUUUGGGUUUGUGGGAUACAUUUUAACAUUCUGAACACUUUUUUUUUGUUGACACUUGUCAAUGAUGCUUUUUGCUCAAUAGGCCAGCAGGGUUACAGCACUCAAAAUGUUAGUCAUACAAGUUAAUGAUAAGUGUAGGUAGCACUAAAUAUGGUAAUUAUAUAUAAAUAACUGUGUGGUAUUGUGUGUCAAUAUUGAUAGUUUUAACGUACACAGUAAAUGUAAGAAAUUACAGAAACGUGAAAACAUCGUGUUCUUGAGCUCCAGAGUAUAUAAAAUUGAUGCCAUAUUUUUUGUUAUUUGUGCUAUUACAAUCUGUUCAAAUCAUAACCAUCAAAAAGUUAUUCUUUUGUUUGUAGUAGAGAAAUUGUGCUAAUAAAUAUGUUUGUAGAUGAA